GGGUAUAGCUCAGUGGUAGAGUGUGUGCUUAGCAUGCACGAUGGUCCUAGGUUCAAUCCUCAGUACUUCCA
rnacentral:tRNA from 1 species